rnacentral:rRNA from 1 species
AUGGUCCUUCAGCAAAAAGGAAGAGAAAGAGUCAAUUUAGGGGUAUUCGUCAGCGCCCCUGGGGUAAGUGGGCUGCUGAAAUCAGAGAUCCAAGCAAGGGUGCACGUGUCUGGCUUGGUACUUUCAACAGUGCUGAAGAAGCUGCAAGAGCUUACGAUGUUGAAGCACGCAGGAUCCGUGGCAACAAGGCCAAGGUUAACUUUCCAAAGGAACCAAUAG